rnacentral:lncRNA from 1 species
UCUGUCCAUCUUCAGAAGUCUUGAAAUGUGUUUCAGGACAACUUUUACUAAAAUUAUCAUCAAAUGAACCUUGUAUUUCAGCUUGUGUUAAUGAAAAAAGAACAGUAAUUAGUGAUAUAAUUAGAAGGAAUUUAGGUAUUGAAGAAGCCAUUCUUUCAGCUUGUGUUAAUGAAAAAAGAACAGCAAUUAGUGCUAUAAUUAGAAGGAAUUUAGGUAUUGAAGAAGCCAUUCUCUCCAUUUUUUCUCUUGAGCUUGAGAAGUGAAGCUUCUUAAGUUGAAAUAUUUGGAGAAGACUAUAAAUAUAAUGAAGGACGUAGACUCAUCACUUUUGGUCGUGUCAAGGG